rnacentral:rRNA from 1 species
GACGAACGCUGGCGGCGUGCCUAAUACAUGCAAGUCGAACGCAGUGGGGACGGGUGAGUAACACGUGGGUAACCUCCCAUCAGAGGGGAUAACACUUGGAAACAGGUGCUAAACCGAUACUGAUGGAUGGACCCGCGGUGCAUUAGCUAGUUGGUGAGGUAACGGCUCACCAAGGCCACGAGGCAUAGCCGACCUGAGAGGGUGAUCAGCACCCAGGGGACUGAGACACGGCCCAUACUCCUACGGAAGGGAGCAGUAGGGAAACUUCGGCAAUGGACGAAAGGCUGACCGAGCAACGCCGCGUGAGUGAAGAAGGUUUUCGGAUCGUACAACUCUGUUGUUAGAGAAGAGGUAUCUAACCAGAAAGCCACGGCUAACUACGUGCCAGCCGCCGCGGUAAUUC